GGGCGGUUAGUUCAGUGGUAGAGCACCUGCCUUACAAGCAGGUAGUCACUGGUUCAAGUCCAGUACCGCCCA
rnacentral:tRNA from 1 species